ACGGGGAGCACCACAACAGGUGGAGCCUGCGGUUUAAUCGGACUCAAACGCCCGGGAAAACUCACCAGAUAAGACAGCUGAAUGAUAGUCGGGCUGAAGACUCUACUUGACUAGCUGAGAGGAGGUGCAUGGCCGUCGUCAGUUCGUACUGUGAAGCAUCCUGUUAAGUCAGGCAACGAGCGAGACCCACGCCAACAGUUGCCAGCUCGUCCUCCGGGAUGGUGGGGACACUGUUGGGACCGCCUCUGCUAAAGAGGAGGAAGGAAUGGGCAACGGUAGGUCAGCAUGCCCCGAAUUAUCUGGGCUACACGCGGGCUACAAUGGGUGGGACAAUGGGUAUCGACACCGAAAGGUGAAGGCAAUCUCCUAAACCCAUCCGUAGUUCGGAUUGUGGGCUGCAACUCGCCCACAUGAAGCUGGAAUCUGUAGUAAUCGUGUCUCAAAAUGGCACGGUGAAUAUGUCCCUGCUCCUU
rnacentral:rRNA from 1 species